CACAAGCUGUGAGAUCAUGACCUGAGCCGAAGUCAGACGCUGAACCGACUGAGCCACCCAGUCAUUAGGUAACUGUGGAGGACACUGCUGGCUGAUUCCAUGCUGAUUCUCUUCUUUCUGCACACUCGUCCUUUGUGGCUCGUUGUGGCACAAGACUGUGUUCCUGCCAAAGUACCGUGAGCGGAAGUGGAUCCCAACUGGGCAGCCCUGCAGGACAAAUACACUUUCCAUCAGGCCAUAUGAUCACUCCCGGUCCUCACAUUUCAAGAUGACUGCUGACUGUCUCCCUGUCUUUGCAAAGGAUGAUACCAAGGUCAGUAUGCAGAGGGCAUAAGGACCGUGAAACUCAUAAAGCUUCAAGGGCCCCUCAUUGAUGAGGCCCAUUCCAAAGGCAUAGGAGAGUCUCCAGCUUUGUGUUCACAUGAGUAUAAGUUUUUGUAAAGAUUUUAAAAUAGUAUUUUAACCACAAUCCGUUAAGGCACUGUCUUUUUCCUCUCUCCUUGGGUCAGGUGACUUUAACAUGGCUGUGAACUGUUUGGGAUCCUGCAAAGGGGAUGUAAACUUGGAGAUAACUGAGUUUGGCUUAGUGGGAUAUAUUUAUGUGGUUUUCAGGUGCCUGCAUGUGGAGUCAAGUUAGUGUUAGCUCUCCCGCUGUAGAAGGCUUUCCAAAAUUCUCCUCCCACUCACUGCGGCGACUCAGUAAAGUGACACUGGGUGCAGGGCCAGAGGCUGUGCCCCAUUAUGCAUGUGCCCCUCAGCACCCACUCUGAAACUAGGGGGAAGUGAAAAGACACAAGUUUCCAAGUGCACCCAGAUGCAAGUCUGUGAAACAUUCUUUGAAUCACCAGAUGUGUCAAACCACAAAUGGAGAAUUUUGUGUUCAUCAACUCUGUCAGAAUGGAAGCUCCCUUCUGUCAGAAAUAUAUUUUAGUAAUGUAGCAUGUACACUGAUAAACACUCCUUACAUUCUCUUAUAUCAUGAGGGGAAGUCUCAUAAAAUAGAAUUUCAUCUGAAUCCUUGUGUUUAUAGGGCACACACCUGUAACAGUAGUACAAACACUGAGCUCAUUCUGAAUGCAAAGCUGUAUGUUUUCUGCAUGCAUAUCAGAUCACGUUUUUGUGAAUCUGAUAUACCUUGUUCCGAUGAAGGCUGGUGGAUGCAGACAAAGCAGCGUGCAAGCAACAGCCUGAUGAAACAAGUGUUUCCCUGAACAAAAGUCCUAUAUGUAUUCAUCUUGGAAUCAUUGUGUAGCGUAAGAGUAAUUUAUUGUAUUAUGGGACUCAAUGCAAUAGAAUAACUUAUGAAGCUGAAAGUAACUUUCCUAACCAUUAAUGAAUAAUGCAAAACAAUUUUUUUUAUAAAAGAAAGACUGAAUUUUGUUUUCUCUUUAGAAAAAUUAUACAAUUGUUAUUGCAUGAAGAGUUAAUCAGAGCAUAUGGAGCCAAAAACUGUGUGGGAAGAAUGUAUUAUAGAGAUGUGUCAGGCAAUUAUUUAAUAAGAAUGUGAUAUUUAUGAGUUCUGUGAUCCUGGUAGGAUUAGUCAACUUUGUUAUAUUUGAAAUUUGUUGUAUGUUCUUCAGUCUAAAGAAAUAUUCACUUUUGUAUCAAAUUUUAUAUUCCUCCUUUUGUAUUUUUUUUUCUUAAAGAAGACCCUCCUCCCCUCCCCCCAGAUUAUAUGUGUUAAGCCCCAUAUAAUCAGAAACUGGCCGUGUUAACACAUAAUGAUGAUUGACAUGACUUGUUCAUCGUUUUUUUGAAAGCCAACUGCAGGGAGGGCAACGUGGUAGGGACUAUAAUUAUGGUAUAAAGUGGGAAGAGCCCUUGGUUGGAGUUAAGGGUCCAGAAAGAGAAAGAGAGGGAGGGAGAGAGAGAGAG